GCGGUGCGCGUAUCGUAAUUGCUGGGCGGUACCGUGCGCGCUUUAUAUCCAGGUGCACCGCAAUGGUGCUUUCUGUCUUCUGCUCCCUGCUUGCUCCUGUGGUGGCUGUGGCUCAGUGACAGCGUUGCUGGGCGCAGCUGCUUCUGUUGUCCAGCGGCUGUGAUUACCGUCAAGCCACGCUGUCUCUCCAACACCGUGGUUGGCUGCUGAGGCCAGGGCGAUACGGUGAUCAGCUGGAGCCCUGCUGCGUGUGUGUGAUUACCGGCCCACUCCAGGCGUGCGGUUAGGCUGUGGUUGGGCUGUAUUUUCGAGGCUCGCAUCCUCCGGUCACGCGGUGCUGUGGCUGACUGCGGCAGUUAAUCCCUGGUGGUGGUGUGUUCUUCAUGGUCCCCCUUUUCCUUUUCCUUUGGUUGUGCGCGUGCGUGUGUGUGUGUGCGGUGUCACGGGUGAUUAAUUUGAGGACUCCUCUCUCUCCUUUUUGGUUACCCUGCCUCAUGGAAAGCCCCAGCCCAGCUUUUAUUCCUCGUUGCCCAUUCUUUUUAGUAUUCGUGUUAACUGCUGUGGGACAUUAUUUCUUUUUUUUUUCCAUACGAUUUGUUAAUAAUGUUAAAUUGGAAUAGGUCUCGCCCCCUGUUAAUUGUACCUGUGUAGCCUUAAUUGGUUUAAUGACAGUGGAAACACACCUGAGCUAGGAUUUCAUGGGUGCAGUUCCCAGGUGGUGUUGUCAGGAUGAUAAUUGGUCUUAUUAGGCACGAAUUAUUCCUCAAAUCUCGCCACAAUGUAAAAACAUUUUCUUCAUUUACAGUAAAUAUUAUGGUUAAAAAAUGUGCUUCAUUCAUAUUUUCAUGUAAAUAAAAAAGUUGUAACCUUUGAAGAAA